AUUCCAGCUCCAAUAGCAUAUACUAAAGUUGUUGCAGUUAAAAAGCUCGUAGUUGAAUUUCUGGUCUUGGACAGCGGUCUGCCUCAAACGAGGCACGCACCAUCUAUCCGAGUCCAUCCUCGGGGAAAACAUGUCUGUGAUUCAGUUCAUGGGCAUGGGAUCCUCGUCAUUUACUGUGAGCAAAAUAGAGUGUUCAAAGCAGGCUUAUGCCGUUGAAUAUUUUAGCAUGGAAUAAUAAGAUAAGACCUUGGUCUAUUUUGUUGGUUUGUACUCCAAGGUAAUGAUUAAUAGGGACAGUUGGGGGUAUUCGUAUUCAAUUGUCAGAGGUGAAAUUCUUGGAUUUAUUGAAGACGAACUACUGCGAAAGCAUUUACCAAGGAUGUUUUCAUCA
rnacentral:rRNA from 1 species